UUUUAACCCUGAUCUCGUCAUUGUUGGAGCUCUUAACUUAUUGAUUAAAUAAGUUAAAGCGACUGACGAGAGCAGGAACAUGG
rnacentral:sRNA from 1 species